CCUGACUGCCGCAUUCAGGACCUGCUGAAGCUCUCUGUUAGAAGAAUUAUCUAGAGGCAAAUGCCCAGCUAUGAUGAUGCCAAACCAAUCUAUGGAGGUCUUCAGAUGUUAAGGCUUCAGGUGGAAAUAGUAUAUUCCUUAGAUGGGCACAUUCAAAUCCUAUUAUGACUGACACUUGAUGUUUGAGUGUCACAUUUCAAUCUAAAUCUAUUCCAAGGUUCAACAUUGUUAUUGAUUUUACCGGUUUCAAGUUUACGAAAUACUACAUUUCAUGGACUCAAUGAUUUUUGGUAAAUUGUGGUGGUGCAUUAAGUAGCUU